AAACGACUCUCGGCAACGGAUAUCUCGGCUCACGCAUCGAUGAAGAACGUAGCAAAAUGCGAUACUUGGUGUGAAUUGCAGAAUCCCGUGAACCAUCGAGUUUUUGAACGCAAGUUGCGCCAGAAGCCAUCCGGCUGACGGCACGCCUGCCUGGGCGUCACGC
rnacentral:rRNA from 1 species